UUGAAUAGAAAUCGGAGAGUACGAAUUCAAAUAUGUUAAUUUCAUAUUUCCAUUCUCUUUGGCUAAUUUCCUCUUUGGAAAUGAAUUUUUGGCCGUUCGAUUCUUGGGUUUACCUUAAAAUCUUUUGUAUGUUUCAACUAACUCUUACUUUCCAUUUCUUUUAUUCAAUCUUCGUUCUCCAUUUUAAUUGUAUUUUGCCUCAAUUGUUUCAAUUCUUUGAUUUGGAAUAUUUACCUAUGUACAACUUUAGGUUCUUUCUUAGAUCAAUAGUAAAUAAGCUAUUGAAAUUGGACAUACUCGUGUUUUAUCUAUAGGUUUCACUCUUUCUCCAAUUUUGUUACGCAUAUAUAUGAAUUUCGCUUCAAUUCAAUUUUUUUUUUCUAGGUUUUUACAGAGAGAUGCUCAGCAGAAAUUAAAUGAUUCAUUCAGAGAGCCUCCGUAAGGAAAUCACUUUAUCAUAUAUGUAUUAUUUUUUAAUUUUUAUUUUUAUGAACUUCCCUUGCAAGGGGUUCUUUUAAUGCUAACCAUGUCAUUUGCUGGGGAAAUUGUCAUUGUUGUACCUAAAAUGGAGCAGAACAACACUUUGCAAUAGUAGAGAGCUUCGUCUUCUUCCUCAUCUCAAUCCAUAGAUUUAAUUUUAGGGUCUGGUUCUUUUCAUUUUGUCUGAAUCUUUUUCCUUCAUGUAAAAUACUUCUUCUAUUUUUCAUUCUUUUUGUUCUCCACUUUUCAAUUUCUGUUGUGAGUAAUUUCUUUAAUUUUCUUUGAAGCUUAAAUGAUUUAUUCAAGCAAUUUCCACUUGGAGUGUUUAUUAUAGUUUUCUUUAUGAUUUCUGAUUGUCCUUUUAGGAUAAAUAGUGUUGUGAUUCAGAUAUGAUGGUGUUAUGGUGGCCUUUUUUGCUACUCGAAUUUACAUACGCUAUGUUUAGAUUCUCCCUUAUGCUCAUCCCUUCCAACGUACCGCUAUUGAUGUUGAUGCCUCUAAUGGUUCAGCUCUAUUCUACUUACUCUGCUUAUGUGUUCUUUGUUUUUUAUUUUUUCAAUUUUGUAUAGAUUUUGUGUGUUAAAAAGUGAAUCUAUAUGAAUGCUGGGGACACACUCAUAGACUACUUGAUUAUCUAUUUCUAUUGAAAUGCAACUAAAGGUUUAGGAAAUGAAGAAAACAAGAGUUCUGCUAAAUUUCUGUUUCUCUCACUUUUUUAAACCAUUAGAAUUUGUGUAUAAAAUUUUGCAGCUGCUUAAUAACUAUACUAUAUUGUAAGUUCAUUUAAGAUUGUGUUUAACAUUUCUCUCAAUUGGAUAUUUACAAAAUUUGACUUUCUGUAGCUUUUUAAAUUAUCAGUUUUUGUAUGUAUAAAAGUUAGGGCAGAACUAAUCAUGAAAAUAAUUUAUGUGCAUUGGUGACUGAGUUUUCUAUGAAUUGGAUGAUUAAAGUGUUGGAUGAUGGGAAUCAAACAAAGGAAAAUAGCUUCAUCUUUUUAAGUUUUUUAAACACUGUUUAUUUUGCUACUAGGAUAAGUAAUUUUCUUUAAAUGGUGUGACUUUUACCUUCUAUUAGAUAAACUUUAUUUGAACUACUUAUUUCCUUUAUGUAUUUUUAUUUGCGUCGAAUGAAAUAUUAAGAUAUUAAACAAAUUCUGAUAUUAGCUUUGAUUCUAUCAGAUAUUCCAAAAAAAUAAAAGAAAACCAUUAAAACAAGGUGUUGAUUUCAUUAGUGAUGAAUGGGACUUCAAGCAUGCUUUGUUAAGCUUAAAUUUAGUCUAAAAUCACCUUUAAAUUUUGUAUCAAACUUGUUUCACUGUGCUCAUUAGUAAAACCUUUCUUUUAAUUUUAAGUAUAUUGGCAAAAUUAUGUUAUCUGUUGAGACACAUAACUUAUUGCCAAUUCAAAUCAUUUGUUUAUACUUUCACCAAGUCAUACAUAGAACUUCUCUUUUACCAUUAAAUAAAUUAGCUAAACAUGAACUUCCUUUUCUGAUAGAAUGAAAGGAAGAGAAAACACUUAGUGAAUGUUUUUACAUUGUAUAUUCAUUAUUCUUUUUCUACUGUGGAACUUAAUCUGAUUUUAUUACAAACAGUAUAAACCAUCUGUUGCUCUAUUUAUACCACAAAACAAUAAGUUCUAGUAACUAUGAUAUUUUUUUUUUUUUUACAUGACAAUGAUGGCUUAAAGUAAAAAUUGGAGAAGAAUUUAUUCACCUUUGGGAUUGUCUUAAUUUGGCACUUGUGUUUGUAUGCUACAUAAGGAUUUUUUUCUAAGUUAAUAUAGCCCUUGUUUUAGUCACAUUAUUUCUAUAAGAACGCAUUUUUGAAUGGUGUAUUGAUGGAGAAUGUAUGAUUAAAAAAUAAGGAAAUUUUUUGAAUUUGCGUGUAAUAUUAUUUUAUUGAAGAAUGUGUGGUUGAAAUGAUGUCAAAUCACUAUUUAAAAAUAUUUUUUUUGAAAGAAUGUAGUUCAAAUAGGGCUUUAGAGUACUUCUAUCGUAGAUAGUACAAGUUAGUAUCUUCUCAAUUUGUGACUGAAUUUUCAUUUUGAUACCUUCAAGAAGACAAACUGAUAAAGUCCAGUGUUAUGAGACUACAACAAUGAAGUACCUGGGCUACUUCCCUGCACUAAAACCUGGUGAGGUAACAAGAUAUCUUGUUUUCAGGAUGUAGAGUUGAUUACACUUUCGAUAUAUCAUCUUGAUUAAUAGCUCAUAAGGACAGAAGUUUUAAUUUAUUUUGUUAAUGGUUAGUCUUAAAUUUCUUCAAGACUUCGUUACAUUAAAAUUAGAAAUUAAGUAAUGCAAAGCAAUUCCAACUUUAGGCCAUGUCAUUUCAUCCAAGGGGAUAGAAGUUGAUAAAUCUAAAAUUGAUUUAAUUCUUUCUUUUCUUCCUCCAACAUGUUUGAGGGAGAUUCGUUCUUUUCUUGUACAUGCAGGAUAUUGUCGAAGGUUUAUCGAUGAUUUUUCAAAGAGUGCAAGACCAUUAUAUAGGUUGUGUUACCAUAUAUAACGGCGAAUAUUUGGGAGAAUGAUUUGUUGCUAAUUUUCAAGAAUUGUAUCUUUAAUUUAUUUAGUUUCCUUUUAGAUCAAAUAAUUGUAAAUAUAUAUACUAUACACAACACAAUGUAAAGGCAAGUUUUGACAGAAAUUUCAGGCAAUUUGUUCGGUCU